GCUGGUCAAGAUGACUACAAGGAUGUUGUGAAGCUGUGCAGGGUGAGGAUUAGGAGGGACAAAAUCCCAACUUGAAAUCAAGCUGGCUGCAACUGUCCAAGAUGACAAGAAAAGCUUCUAUAAAUAUAUUAACAACAAAAGGAGGACUAAGGAGAACUUCUGUCCCUUACUGGAUGCAGCAGGAAACACAGUGAUGAGGGGUGAUGUCAACGUUUGACUCAGGUCCGACAACAAUGCUCUCGAUCCCCUCCCCCCCCCCCCCAGGUAGGGAAGGAGAGAGAGAAAAAGAGAGAGACUUGGCUGGAUUGAAAACUAAACUACACAGCUUUAAUUAAACACUAAUGAAUCAUACCAGAAAAUAUAUACAAUUAUAUACAGAUAUAUACAGAUAUGGGCAAAAACCUCUCGCCUCCCCCCAUCCCCAGCAACUCCCACAGCACUCCCCUGAACUGGGAAGAGUCCUGAGGAAUCCCGGAGCCGCUGCUGGAGAAAGCAGAGAGUUCUGAGGGUCAGGAGAGCUCGAGCCUAAGGGUCGGCGGUGAUGGAUGAGCAGAGUCCUCCCUGGACGCCGGCCAUGGAUGGAAGAGAAGGGAAGAAGAAGAAGAAGGAAGCUGUCUUCUAUGAUCUCUGACCUUCCUUUGAGCUUACGUAGAUAUAUGGAAUGGAAUAUCUUUGGCCAAUUUUGCUGUCUGUCUAACUCAGCCUCCCACGGGGGGGGUCAGAGAUCUCCCCAUAGUGUCUGAGCCGGCGGAGUGAAGGUGUAACCUUGAAGCCUCAGUAGUUAGAAAAACAUUCCACUGUCUUAUCAGCCUAGCAGAACACACAGUUGCUAGUUAAAAGAAAGCUUACUGAAGGAAAAAAAAAUCAGUGAAAAGAAAAAUUGGCUUAAUCCUGGCUCAAACCAGGACAGGUGAGGAGAAGGCUGAGGUAUCAACGGCACCUUUGCCUCAGUCUUUAGCGGUAGGACCAGUUCCUUGCUGGGUGCACAGGCCCCUGAACUGGCAGACAGGGACACAGAGCAGUUUGAAAACCUCAUCAUCCAAGAGGGGACAGGCAGUGACCUGCUGCACCACUUGGAUGUCCACAGGUCCGUGGGGCCGGAUGGGAUCCAGCCGAGGGGUCUGAGGGAGCUGGCAGAAGUGCUCCCCAAGCUCCUUUCCAUCACUUUCCAGCAGUUCUGGCUGACUAGGGAGGUGCCAGUAGACUGGAGACUGGUCAAUGUGACCCCAGCUACAAGAAGAGCCAUAAGGAGGAUCCAGGGACUUGCAGGCCUAUCGGCCUGACCUCUGUGCUGGGGAAGUUCUGGAGCAGAUCAUGCUGAGGGCCAUCACAUGGUCCCCUCUCCUUUCAGCCCUCUGCUGACCAAGAGCGAACAGCCAUCUGGGACACGGUGGCUGGCUCCAUUCAAGAUCAGCUCCUGCUGCACAAGGGGCUCCGAAUUCCCAGCCUUGGCUCC